ACACUUAUGUUUCUUUUCAGAUCGUAUAAAUCUUUCGCCUUUUACUAAUGAUUUCCGUGGGGAGGAACACAAUGAGUAGCUACAAACUAGUUUUUGAUGCUCUGCUUAAAUGUGGGGU